ensembl:lncRNA
GUCAAUGAACAAGACCCAGACUCUGAGAUGGGCUGGAAAUUUAGGACACCACUCUGCAGGGUCCUAGCUCUGAAAACAUACGGAUGCUGGCUGGACCAGCUGGGUCACUUGCAGAUGCCCUAGGAUAAGGGCUUCUUCUCAAAUGGGAACAUUUGAAAUGGAGCUGCAGGUGGGCUCCAUAGUUCCGAUGCAGAGCCUGAUUGCAUUCCUAACAUGAUUCCUGCUGAAAGCUGCAAGCUGGGGGAGGGCACUCACCAGAAGUGUGACCCCUCAGCGAACCGCUGGUAGAUCAGACUCUGGAACCUCUCUGGGGAGGAGGGGAGUGUCUCUCACCGCUGUUGGCUUGUGUUCUGCCUUCCAGAUUAGCUGCAGUUUGCAACAAUGGACUGACAGCCUGACUCCACUUCCCUCACCUUCCUCUUGCUGCACACACCUUAAACUGCUCCUGGAAGCUUUCCCCUCUUUCUGAAGAAAAAUUCUUGUGCUGCCUUCACAAGCUGCUUGGAGCCACUUCAGAUUCAGACGAACUGCGGAGCCCACAUCACAUGUGACAGUGCAACUAUGAGACAGCAGGGGUGGACCAGCUCCCACACAGUGCCCACAGAACACCUCCACAUGCCAUUCACACUCAGCAGGCCGUGAACUCCUGCCGCUGAGAGAACUGUUUGGAACUGACCCCCUCAGGUAGUCCCUCUGAAAGCAAGGACUGAACUGAAUUGCUUGGACCAGACUGAGAACCCUGGAGCAGGAGGAACCAUGGUGGGAAGCCACGCUGGGGGCCCUGUUAGCCUGUACUGCCUGACCAAUGCACGUCCUGCUUGGGGUGCCUGAACAUUGUAAACAGUUUGUUUGCAGGGGACAUGUGUGCCCUUCUGUGCCCUCUGGGAUUGUACUUCUUGGGUGUGUGCCCUGACCGUCAUGACACUGCCUCAGCCCUGGAAGGCUUUGGGCCAGCUUCAUCCUGCUGGCCAGAGCUAUGCUGGGCCUGAAUUGAUGCCUCAGGCUGGGUUUUAAAAAAGGUUCAUAGAGAAACUUAUGGAGGAAGCCACCUGGCUUUCUAAGACAGAUCUUUGUGGCUAAUGGGAUGUAUUUUAACUGGCUAAGUCCAGGACCCCUACAGAGCAUAAUUGAGAUCAGUACUGCAGGUUGGCCUCACCCUGCUGUGUGGGGUCCUACUGAUAAUAAUUCUGUAAAGACAGCUUGGCCAAGGGCUGAGGGAGUGGAUUAUGCAGACAAGUUAACAUAGCAAGAGUGAAACUGCUAUCCAUAGAAUGGCCUGCAUGCCAGGUUAACCCUUGACUGACAUCUGAGAACUUUGAUUUGGGGAGUGUUCCUGCCCUUCCCUAAUUCAUAAGAGUGACUCAUUGUAGCUAGACUGUUUGUGCAAACAACGGGGUUUAUUUGUUGAACACCUGCUUUCUGUGUGUUUGGAAUUUUGGUACCUGCCAGGUAAAGGGUCCUAUGUGACCAGCCUCCAAUAAAAACCCGGAACUCUGAGUCCCAAAGGGCUUCCCUGGGCAGAAAUAUGGCACACAUGUUGCUGAAUUUUCAUUGCAAGGGAAAAGUGUGCUCUGUGUGACACUUCAUGGGAGGGAGAAAGAAAAAGAAAGCCUGCACAUGGAUUCCUCCAGACUCCACCUGUGUCUCUUCUCCUUAUGAUCUGGUUAUAUAUCCUUACUACAUCUUGGUAAUAAGUCUUAGCCCUGAACACAACUAUGUGCUGAAUCCCAUGAGAUCUUCUAGCAAAUCUCUGAAUAGAGUGGUGAUCUUAGGGGUCCCUCAUCACAGUCACCAAUGGAAAUCUCAGAUAUUUUCUUAUCACAUUAUAGAUAUUUGGAAAUUUCAAUUAUAUUGAUCACUGCUUUGAUAUUAAGGUAGAUAUGAGACCUGCCACUAGUUUGUUAUUUAAAGUGUUGAUAAAGAAGCCCACAUACUAUACAUUUUAAAAUAUUUUUAAAAUUGAACAUCUUUAAUAUAUUUUGACAUAAUUGAUUUCCUUUGUAAUCCUAAGUAUUUUACUUGCUGCAUUAUUUUGAGAGCUUCAUUCUGAGAAGAUAUCCAUAGGAUUCACCAGACUGCUGAAGGGGUCUGCACAAAAGACAGUUUGACUCCCUGCAGUGGGUUAUUACCCUGGACUAGAUGUAUAAUCACUAACAGGCAAUUUAU